rnacentral:lncRNA from 1 species
CCAAAUUCCCAAAUUACAAACCCUAAUUUUUCAAACACGUUAAAAAUAUGGAUUCCAUAAUAUAUAUAUCAAAAUUCCCAAAUUGAAUUCUAAAACAAAGACAAUAACCGAAUUUCAUCAUGAAUUAAACAUGGUAGGCUCUGAUACCAAUUGUUGGAAAAACCUUAAUAACGUUGUGCUCAACAAUCCAUGUCAAUUACAUGAUGAAUAGC